UACGUAGGCAGCGAGCGUUGUUCGGAAUUACUGGGCGUAAAGAGUGUGUAGGCGGCGCUUCAAGUUCGGUGUGAAAUCUCCCGGCUUAACUGGGAGGGUGCGCCGAAAACUGGAGUGCUUGAGCAUGGGAGAGGAAAGCGGAAUUCCUGGUGUAGCGGUGAAAUGCGUAGAUAUCAGGAGGAACACCUGCGGUGUAGACAGCUUUCUGGACCAUUGCUGACGCUGAGACACGAAAGCGUGGGUAGCAAACAGG
rnacentral:rRNA from 1 species